rnacentral:tRNA from 2 species
GGGUCAUUAGCUCAAUUGGUAGAGCAGCUGACUCUUAAUCAGUUGGUUGCAGGUUCAAGUCCUGCAUGGCCCACCA